rnacentral:RNase_P_RNA from 1 species
UGGAGUGGACGCAUGAUCGCCGCUUUACAGCGGAGGAAAGUCCGGACUCCACAGGGCAAGGUGGUUCGCAACACGAACUGGGGGCAACCCUAAGGAAAGUGCCACAGAAAACAUACCGCCUGCCGCCUGCAUUGCAGGUAACAGGUAAGGUUGAAAAGGCGGGGUAAGAGCCCACCGCUUUCAUGGUGACAUGGAAGGCACGGCAAACCCCACCUGGAGCAAGACCAAAUAGGAAAGCGUUUAAGGGCUGCCCGUCCAAAGCUUUCGGGUAGGUUGCUAGAGGUGCCGGGCAACCGGCAUCCCAGAUAAAUGAUCAUGGCCCCGUUUUUUGGGGUACAGGAUCCGGCUUAUAAUCCACUCCAGAAU